AUUGUUCAACGAAAGUCUGUAACCUAAAACUUAUUAUACGCCAAUCCAAUAAUGGUAUUAUAAUAAAAUUAUAAAAUAAUAAUUUAUGAAAAAAUUUAUAUACCACUUUCGAUAUUGAUUCUUACUUCUCACUGUUAAGAUUAACAGUAGUGAAAAAGUUAUAUAUUUAAAUAAUAUGUGCAUGCAAAGUACAAAGCAUAAUAAUUUAAUUUUUGGUUAAACUACAUUUUAUUAAUUGCACUAUUUUGUGCAAUUAAUUUUGUGCAAUCUUAUAGUUUUCUAUGUGUUUCUAUCUAAAAUGUGGUGUCAAAAGUAUUUCCUAAUAUGUAAUAUAGUCUAAUUUUUUAUAUAUUUACCUAUGUAACUUAUUGUAAAGAACCAUAUAUAAACAUUUUAUAUUGUGUGUUACAAAAAUAAUUUAUAACCUUCACAAAAUAUAUAUAAUAUAUUAAAACUUAUUCAGGUAAUGUAGAUUAUAUAAAGAUUUAUAUAUAUUUUAUUACACAUAUUAUAUAGGAAUAAGUACAGUUAAAUCAAAAUAGUACAAAGAAUAAAGAACAAGAUAGGAAUCUAUUAAAAUAAAUAGUGAAAUUUGUCUUAUAAGACAGAUAUGCCACAGUACUUAAUGGAAAGAGAUAUAAGAAAAAAACAGUCUUAUGACAAGGUGCAAAUCUAGGGCAAAAUGAGGUAAUAUGGAAAAUAGAUAUUGAAGAAAAGAAGAAGAAAGAACAUGCAAGAUAUAUGAAAGGAAUAUAGGAAAGAUUAAAUACCUGAUUUAUAGGUAAAAAAAUUUGAAAAUUCAAGUGCAAAAAUUGCUCAUAAUAUAUAAAAAUAUAUAAAAUAUCCCAAGGAUGGUUUUCCUUAUGAUAUUCAGUGGACACAAAAAAUCUUCUGGAGACUAAAUUUUAUAUCUUUAAUGAUGUUCAUAAAAACAUAAAUUUGUAUAAACAUUUAUAAUUUAUUCAUAACACUGAUACUUUAUUUUAGAACCUGUUAUCACAUUCAUACCUAUAUUGAUAAUAUUAGUAACAGUAAUAACUUUUAUGUAAUAUAUUUUGUUUAAUAUGUUAGAACAUGAUACUUAUGUCACUAAGUAUAUGUAUACAUUUAACAUAUGACCUAGUUAUGAUAAUAUUUGGCAGUAAUAAAUUUUUAAACUGUUCAUAGCUAAAGUGGAAUACUAAUAUGUGUAACGUAGUAAACACAUGACAUAAAUAAGUAAAUAUAUAUAUACACAAUAUAUAUAAUAUAAGAUACUAAAUGCAAAUAUAACAUAUAUAAUGUACUAAUUGUGCUACAAGUACAACAUCAUUAACUAUAUAAAAUGUAUAAAAUUAUAAAAGUAAUAUUUUAAAAAUUAUCUCGUAACUAUAUAAAUGAAUUAUAUAUCAUGUCAAUAACAUAAA